GCUAAACGCGAAGAACCUUACCAAGGCUUGACAUGGAUUUCUAAGCACGUGAAAGCGUGUGACCCUUCGGGGGACUUCCACAGGUGCUGCAUGGCCGUCGUCAGCUCGUGUCGUGAGAUGUUGGGUUAAGUCCCGCAACGAGCGCAACCCCUAUCGUAUGUUACCAUCAUUAAGUUGGGGACUCAUGCGAGACUGCCGGUGAUAAGCCGGAGGAAGGCGGGGAUGACGUCAAGUCAUCAUGGCCCUUACGCGUAGGGCUUGAAACGUGCUACAAUGGCAGUGACAAUGAGCAGCAAACUCGCAAGAGUGAGCUAAUCCCCAAAAACUGUCUCAGUUCAGAUUGUCCUCUGCAACUCGAGGGCAUGAAGUUGGAAUCGCUAGUAAUCGUGGAUCAGCAUGCCACGGUGAAUACGUUCCCGGGUCUUGUACACACCG
rnacentral:rRNA from 1 species